GAUGAACGCUGACAGAAUGCUUAACACAUGCAAGUCUACUUGAACUUCGGUUUGGGUGGCGGACGGGUGAGUAACGCGUAAAGAACUUGCCUCACAGAUAGGGACAACAUUUGGAAACGAAUGCUAAUACCUGAUAUUAUGAUUUUAGGGCAUCCUAGAAUUAUGAAAGCUAUAUGCACUGUGAGAGAGCUUUGCGCCCCAUUAGCUAGUUGGAGAGGUAACGGCUCACCAAGGCGAUGAUGGGUAGCCGGCCUGAGAGGGUGAUCGGCCACAAGGGGACUGAGACACGGCCCUUACUCCUACGGGAGGCAGCAGUGGGGAAUAUUGGACAAUGGACCAAGAGUCUGAUCCAGCAAUUCUGUGUGCACGAUGAAGUUUUUCGGAAUGUAAAGUGCUUUCAGUUGGGAAGAAAAAAAUGACGGUACCAACAGAAGAAGUGACGGCUAAAUACGU
rnacentral:rRNA from 1 species